UCUCUUUAAUUAAUUCGACCUAGAUUUUUACCACUUAUUUUUCAAUUUGUGAAAUUUUAGUCAUUAUAGUACUUUAUUUUUACUCUAACAUUGAAACAAAGUUGGAAUAAAGAUUUUCAAAAACCAAGAGAAUACAGGAGUUACAACAAACGUGGUUCUGUACAUAUUUACAACCAUAUACAACUAAGUGCCCUGCCAUGACACUGCAUUAAACCUACCAAGCCAUGUACUAUGGGAUGUGGAACGUCAAAUCCUGAAAAACAACAAAACCAACACACUACUAGUAAUCAACAAAUCGCACUUGACAGAGUUCUGUAUGGAGCAAAAGAAGCUCAAAAAUGGAAAAAAUUAGUAGCCGAAAAGAACGCAGCAAUUGCCAAAGGUUUAUCGCAAGACGGCACAUUUUACAGAGACAAAAAUGCUGGUAAAUUUGGUAGCGUUAAAAGUACAAUUCAAAGGCGACAGAAGAAGACAAAGAACAAAAAGAAGUGACGACUAAUUUUUCGCCACAUAAUAAAUAGUUUCCAAUUAUUGUAGAAUUAAUACAUAUAAUGUGGAUGAUGUCUUCAUUUAAUCUUCACGAGGAUAUUAGUUUCAGCCGAUACAUACGCCAUUUUGAAAGUAUAACUAAACAACAAUUCGAUCGGGCCUCGAAUACCCGUACUGUCAGACAAUCCGUACAUACUUUCUUCUCCCCUCCCUGACGACUAAAAUUUUCUAAAUCAUUCAAGCAAAUGGAAUUAUAAACAAUUAUAAACCUACACAACAGAAGUUUAAGAUCUUCUGCAAACAAUAAUCUAGCUGUAGUGAGGCGUAAUAAAAAUUCGAUGAAAAAAUCAUUCACAUAUAGCUCUUAAAUACUUUGGAAUAAACUAUCAAAUGAAAUAAACUAUGUGAAAAUCUGUGUACUUUAAAAAAAAAUGUGUAGAUUUUUUUAACUAUAAAUGAUAUGUAACAACUAUCUGACUCUGUCAUGUCUUUUAAAUGAUUGUGUAUAAUGUAUAAUUUUGUUUUUUCUUGUUCUACAGACAUUUAUUUAGUGUGAAAGUUGAAUUAUAUGUUCAAAAAAUGUAAUAUUUGUAAUACUUGUUCUGUAUGUUUU